rnacentral:misc_RNA from 1 species
AAAUCUCAACCUUCUCGGUUUCUUCUGGACACCGAAGGAGGCUUGGACUUUGGAGGCCUUUGCUGGUGUCUCUCUCUUUUGAAAGGCCAGCUCCUCUCAAAUGAAUUAGCGGGGUCCUCUUUGCCGGUCCUCGACAUGUGAUAAGAUGCUUCCAUGUCUUGGUUUAUGGCUCUUUUGCCUUUGGGCCCCGCUUCUAAUCGUCUCAAGACAAUGUUUGAGCGCGUCUCCCUUCUCGGGAAACACUCUCAAACCCACGAAC